GUUAAGGUGGCAGAAUAGUGCUCUAAAUUUAAGCUUUAGGAAUGAAUAAGUUUCUCUUAAUA
rnacentral:tRNA from 1 species